GAUGAACGCUGGCGGCGUGCCUAAUACAUGCAAGUCGAGCGAACGGACGAGAAGCUUGCUUCUCUGAUGUUAGCGGCGGACGGGUGAGUAACACGUGGAUAACCUACCUAUAAGACUGGGAUAACUUCGGGAAACCGGAGCUAAUACCGGAUAAUAUUUUGAACCGCAUGGUUCAAAAGUGAAAGACGGUCUUGCUGUCACUUAUAGAUGGAUCCGCGCUGCAUUAGCUAGUCGGUAAGGUAACGGCUUACCAAGGCAACGAUGCAUAGCCGACCUGAGAGGGUGAUCGGCCACACUGGAACUGAGACACGGUCCAGACUCCUACGGGAGGCAGCAGUAGGGAAUCUUCCGCACUGGGCGAAAGCCUGACGGAGCAACGCCGCGUGAGUGAUGAAGGUCUUCGGAUCGUAAAACUCUGUUAUUAGGGAAGAACAUAUGUGUAAGUAACUGUGCACAUCUUGACGGUACCUAAUCAGAAAGCCACGGCUAACUACGUG
rnacentral:rRNA from 1 species